rnacentral:rRNA from 1 species
CACGUAGGGACCAAGCGUUGUCCGGAUUCAUUGGGCGUAAAGAGCUCGUAGGCGGUUCGAUAAGUCGGGUGUGAAACCUCCAGGCUCAACCUGGAGACGCCACCCGAUACUGUCGUGACUAGAGUCCAGUAGGGGAGCGUGGAAUUCCUGGUGUAGCGGUGAAAUGCGCAGACUAUCAGGAGGAACACCAGCGGCGAAGGCGGCGCUCUGGGCUGGAACUGACGCUGAGGAGCGAAAGCGUGGGGAGCGAACAGG